rnacentral:tRNA from 1 species
GCCACCGUAGCUCAGUUGGUAGAGCAAUGCUUUCGUAAAGCAUAGGUCGUCGGUUCGAGUCCGACUGGUGGCU